rnacentral:rRNA from 1 species
AGAGUUUGAUCCUGGCUCAGAACGAACGCUGGCGGCACGCCUAACACAUGCAAGUCGAGCGCUUCACACUAACUUCGGUUGGAGUGAGGAGCGGCGGACGGGUUAGUAACGCGUGGGAACAUACCCUUUUCUACGGAAUAGCCUCGGGAAACUGAGAGUAAUACCGUAUACGCCCUUCGGGGGAAAGAUUUAUCGGUUAAGGAUUGGCCCGCGUAAGAUUAGAUAGUUGGUGGGGUAAUGGCCUACCAAGUCUACGAUCUUUAGCUGGUUUGAGAGGAUGAUCAGCAACACUGGGACUGAGACACGGCCCAGACUCCUACGGGAGGCAGCAGUGGGGAAUCUUGCGCAAUGGGCGAAAGCCUGACGCAGCAACGCCGCGUGGGGGAUGAAGGCUCUCGGGUCGUAAACCCCUUUCAGCAGGGACGAAAAUGACGGUACCUGCAGAAGAAGCCCCGGCCAACUACGUGCCAGCAGCCGCGGUAACACGUAGGGGGCAAGCGUUGUCCGGAUUUAUUGGGCGUAAAGGGCUCGUAGGCAGUUCAGUAAGUCAGGUGUGAAAACCCAAGGCUCAACCUUGGGACGCCACUUGAUACUGCUGUGACUAGAGUCCGGUAGAGGAGAUUGGAAUUCCUGGUGUAGCGGUGAAAUGCGCAGAUAUCAGGAGGAACACCAACGGCGAAGGCAGAUCUCUGGGCCGGU